rnacentral:rRNA from 1 species
UACGUAGGUGGCAAGCGUUGUCCGGAUUUACUGGGCGUAAAGGAUGCGUAGGCGGACAUUUAAGUCAGAUGUGAAAUACCCGAGCUUAACUUGGGUGCUUCAUUUGAAACUGGGUGUCUAGAGUGCAGGAGAGGUAAGUGGAAUUCCUAGUGUAGCGGUGAAAUGCGUAGAGAUUAGGAAGAACACCAGUGGCGAAGGCGACUUACUGGACUGUAACUGACGCUGAGGCAUGAAAGCGUGGGGAGCAAACAGG